rnacentral:rRNA from 1 species
AAUUUGAAAUCUGGCUCUAGGGCCCGAGUUGUAAUUUGCAGAGGAUGAUUUUGGCGCGGUGCCUUCCGAGUUCCCUGGAACGGGACGCCUUAGAGGGUGAGAGCCCCGUACGGUUGGACAUCAAGCCUCUGUAAAUCUCCUUCGACGAGUCGAGUAGUUUGGGAAUGCUGCUCUAAAUGGGAGGUAAAUUUCUUCUAAAGCUAAAUACCGGCCAGAGACCGAUAGCGCACAAGUAGAGUGAUCGAAAGAUGAAAAGCACUUUGAAAAGAGGGUUAAAUAGCACGUGAAAUUGUUGAAAGGGAAGCAUUUACUACCAGACCUUCUCCCUGCGGAUCAUGCGGUGUUCUCACCGCUGCACUUCGCUUGGUUUAGGCCAGCAUCGGUUUUCGUAGAGGGAUAAAAGCUUUAGGAACGUAGCUCCCUCGGGAGUGUUAUAGCCUUUUGCAUAAUACCUUUACGGGGACCGAGGACCGCGCUUUUGCAAGGAUGCUGGCAUAAUGGUAGUCAAUGACCCGUCUUGAAACACGGACCAAGGAGUCGAACAUUUAUGCGAGUGUUUGGGUGUUAAACCCUCACGCGUAAUGAAAGUGAACGUAGGUGAGAGCCCUUACGGGUGCAUCAUCGACCGAUCUUGAUGUCUUCGGAUGGAUUUGAGUAAGAGCAUAACUGUUCGGACCCGAAAGAUGGUGAACUAUGCGUGGAUAGGGUGAAGCCAGAGGAAACUCUGGUGGAGGCUCGCAGCGGUUCUGACGUGCAAAUCGAUCGUCAAAUCUGCGCAUGGGGGCGAAAGACUUAUCGAACCAUUAAACCAGCGGUAAAAAUAUUUACUAGGUGGUUAAGAGGCCCUCUGUAAAGAGGAAAAGGCCUAGGUGACCUAUCCUGAAAGAUGCUACCCGGCACUUUCGGGUGGGAUACCGACAUCGCUAAAUUGCGGGAACAUCCUACUGUAAGGCUAGGGGUUACCGCCGCCUGCUGAAAAGCUCGGCGGCACUGGGAGUAGCGCUCUCAGGUGUGGUAAAAACGCCCCUAGUAUCGGACGACCUGCAGCCAACCCCGUACUUCAGGGGAGGGUUCACAGACUAAACAGCGAUGGGUCAGCCGUUGCUGGCCUAAGACAUAGUCGAU